CGCCAGGCCAGACGUGAGGACACUCAAGCAGGACAGCAGGGUCAGGGUCGGGCCCUCCUGGAAGCUGUUCCAGCGCCCUCCGAUGCGUCUGCGCAUGUUUGGAGAAUCUUCCUGGAAUAAACACUACGAGUGGAAGAGAGACGUCAGCGGUGAUCCGAAGACAGGACCGCUCCUUCAGGAGCUUCGAUGCUGGGUCUCUUUUAGAUACUCUAAAACCACAAGACACUGAGCCCCGGAUUCCCAGAGUCUCCGGGUCGGCGCUCGCCGGGAUCCUGCAGCCAUGAGCGUGGGUUUCAUCGGCGCGGGCCAGCUGGCCUGUGCUCUGGCGCGGGGCUUCACGGCCGCGGGCGUCCUGUCGGCUCACAAGAUAAUAGCCAGCUCCCCGG
rnacentral:lncRNA from 1 species